UCUAUUUUCUGUGUAGAGAAAUUUGUGCCUCAACCCAAAGUAACGAUUCUAUCUAUCUAUUUGAGAGUAUCUCUCGGAUCAAUAUCCAAAUUGAUAAAAAAAUAUUGUUUUUUUUUUCCUUUCCAUAUAUACCAUUAGAUCUAUGCAAUGAUCUACCAAUUCUUGAGAAACCCUCCAAAGAAAUUAUCCAUGUUUGCAAAAAGUGAUUAAGUGAGAAAAAUAUUCGGAUUCAUUGGAAUUCGUGAAUGUUCGCAAACCUGGAUCGCGG
rnacentral:lncRNA from 1 species